rnacentral:rRNA from 1 species
GACGAACGCUGGCGGCGUGCUUAACACAUGCAAGUCGAACGGCAAGGCCCUUCGGGGUACACGAGUGGCGAACGGGUGAGUAACACGUGGGUGAUCUGCCCCGCACUUCGGGAUAAGCCUGGGAAACUGGGUCUAAUACCGGAUAGGACUCCGGACUGCAUGGUCGGGGGUGGAAAGCUGUUGCGGUGUGGGAUGGGCCCGCGGCCUAUCAGCUUGUUGGUGGGGUGAUGGCCUACCAAGGCGACGACGGGUAGCCGGCCUGAGAAGGUGACCGGCCACACUGGGACUGAGAUACGGCCCAGACUCCUACGGGAGGCAGCAGUGGGGAAUAUCGCACAAUGGGCGCAAGCCUGAUGCAGCGACGCCGCGUGAGGGAUGACGGCCUUCGGGUUGUAAACCUCUUUCAGCAUCGACGAAGCGAAAGUGACGGUAGGUGCAGAAGAAGGACCGGCCAACUACGUGCCAGCAGCCGCCGUAA